ensembl:lncRNA
CUUUCCUCCCUUCCUUCAUUCUUCCCUCCCCUUCUUCCAUUUGUUUUAGUUCCUUCCAUUCAGAGAGCAUUGUCUUAUGACAUUACAGAGGACUUUUGCUUCUUCCUGGGAAACUGAGUUCCACAUUUGCAAGGAGGGGGCUGUGGGCAGCAGAAAGGGAAUACUUUUCAUUUGCUCCUACUGAAACUGUCUUACGAAUCCCAAAAGUUUUAAGCUAGAUGUCAAUCAAAAGGCAGCAGCUUUAUGCCACUUACAUGCCUUCUGAAAGAGAUCUAUGUUUCUUAUAGUGGGGAAGCAAACAAACAAACAACUGCCUCAAAUGGAUUUGGGAAUUUUGAAAUGCUGAAUUUAAUAUGUGAAAUCUGUGCUGUUAGCAUUCAGGUAAUGGGCAGUUACUUUCAGAAAUCAGUGCUUAAAACAAUCCAAGAAGCUGGAACAAAUCUUUGUAUUAUUUUUUACUGUUUUCCUCUGUUUGGCAGAAUAAAGCGGUCUGAAAUGCCCUGCUGUCACAGCACAAAACCAAGAGCACCUCUUCAUCUUCCCUCCGGCCAACGAAAGGGGACAGGAUUUUCAGUGAAACCCAGAUGUUGCUGUGAGUAUAUGUGUGCAUUUAUUAACAGAUAAUAGUGGAGGACUGCAAUUUAUAUCUGCAGAAGCUGAAAUAAUUAAGGAGGGUUGGGUAUUAAUGGAUGUAUGUUUUGAACAAUCUCAAAAACUUCUUUGUGUGGAAAAUUAAGAUCCUUGCUGAUAUUGAAAUAUCUCAGAUUGUUGUAAACCCAUGUUUCUAAUAUUUUAACUGGGAAUCACUUUCAUGGUCCGGCACUGCUGAUGCUGCCCCUUCAGAAGCCAGAAAAUGUCAGAUAUCUCAGUAUUUUCAGGAUUGUUUUGUUCCCAUUCAGCCUGACAGACAAAAAGGAGGGUUCUGAGGGAAGCUCUUAUUUCCUCCCUUCCCAUCUCCCUUUGCUCUUGCAAUAGCACCAUUGUACAGCACCGUUAUGCCAAAUUUUUUACAUAGAGACAGACUCGCCUGUCCCACAUUGUCAUUUCGACACUGUUUUUAACAAAGAUGUAUUUUCUGAGGAUCAUGUUUGAGAAUAAAUGGCUUUGGGUCUAGCACUAGUAAAAGAAGAAAAGCAAAUCCAAAGAACCCACUCAUUGAGUUCAGAGUAGCUACAGGGCAAUGCUGCAUCUUGCUUUUUAGGUGAAAUCUGCAAUUUUGUUUAUCCAGAGCAAUCUGUAACAGCUCUAUGGUAAAGCUGCUUUGAGGUUUAGUUUUGAAGUUUACUGCUCCCAGUUUUCAUUUAUUCCGUCAUAAUACAUGCAUAAAACAUUUUUAUUAUGUGGAUAGUAAUUUGCAUGAGCACAAGGACUUUAGCUCAAAUGCUCAUGAACAAGACUGUUCUUCAGUCGGGUCAACUGGAAGUUAUUCUGCUUUACUACAGGGCUUUCAGUUAAUUAAAUUCAAAGAACCUGUUCAACUGCUAAGGCCUGUUAUAGUCCAGAUAAGAAAAAAAAUACAUUUUUUCAUCAGUCUCUGGGGACAGACACUGCUGAUGCUCCUCCUGCUGUAGCCACAAUACAGUGGGCCACAAUACAAGUGAAAAGGAGGAAGAAUGUCCUGCCCAAAGUAUUUCAGUGGGACAUACACGUCUGUGACGAACACAGAAAGGACUAUUCAGAUGCAUUUUGUUAUAUGGAAUGAACUACAUUUCUGAUCUUCUAAUGCAAUGAAUAUUGUGCUCUGCAAGUAAUGUAAUUAACACAGGAAAAAGAGGAGUGAACUGCAUUUACAGUAGAAGUGAACUUUACCUAAAAUUAUCAUUUCAGAAAAUUGACUGUUCUUCUAACUGUUGGUAAUUAUUUUUUCCUUUUUUUUCUUGAGUUCCUCUUUAUUUGGAUAGGUAAUAAAAUUAGUUUUGAUCCUGCACACUGAAGGAGAAACCCUAGUGGCCACAUUCUGACUCUACUUGAACUAGUGUAGGAACUCAUACGGAAAAUUAAGUGAAAAUCAAUUAACAGUUGCCCCGGGCAUUUGAAACAAAUGCCAGGAAUCCCUAAAUGUUUCUCAGUUCUGUAUAAAUCAUAGCUGACAAGUGGUGGUAUCUCUGCUUCCACUGAAAAUUUGCUUUGUUACAGUAAAAAUUCUUUUAUUAUAUAUAGUUGCUGAUGUACAUAUAUAUAUGUAUUAACCGUCUACAUUUUCUCAUGUGCAUCUUCCAUAAAUCUCCUUUUGAGUCUCUUCCAAAGAAACUAACCUAUGCUUUUGAAGAAAAGAUGACUACCUGGUUGAAGAAAAGGAGUAAUGGAGAACACAUUCUUCAAGACAGAAAUCUUCCAGACUUCUCCCAGGUUUAAUUGGAGGUGCUUUGUAAACCUUUGAUGGUUAAGGACACCAGAUUUUGGAGUGAAAUGCUGGUAUCCCAGAAGCUUGAAAGCACAAAAGAAACAGCUUGUGGAAAAUCUGUGAAGUCCAUCUAUUUCUACAAUAGGAUUAUUCAUCACCACAUGUUUUCCCCAUCUGGAAGUAAAGGGACAAAAUGCUGAAACCACCACCGUCUCACUUGCAAAUUGCUCCACAGUCUAACCAGUCAUGCUAUUGAGAAGAUAUGCCUGCAGUUCAACCCAAAUUCUCUGUUGCUGUGUUUUGCACAUGUUCAACAAACUCAGCUUCCUUCUUGCGGUGAGGAGUACUCAAGAUGUGGUCUUAUCAGUGUCAAGCACUGAGGGACAAGCAGAACAAUUCAAAGGCUAUGACUAUCCUUGAGACCUUGUAGCACCUGCACCUACAGAAACUGUCCACAGAGGCCUUACCGGACCAUGUUUUAUUGUCAUUGUUUCUGGGCAAAGGUUUUAUAAUGCAGCAGUGGAGUCCAUCUUGCUGAAGCAAUGGAGACAGAUAGUGAUGGAGCUGCCAGAACAACCUGUAAAUUAUCUGCCCUAAAAUCCUCAAAGAGCACUUUGUGCUGAAAAGAAGGCUGUUCAAGGCAGGAGGGGAAGAAUUUGAUCUUGCCUACAUUUGUUGUACAGGAACAGAAAGGAGGAGUGCUUUAUUCAUCAAGUGAACACAGCACUUUAAAAAUUCAACUAAGUCAAUAUAGGAAUACGUUUAAAAUGUAUUCACCUUCAGAGAGAGAUUUCCUGGACUGACAGAACUGCCAAUGGGUAUGAGUUAUUGCUUAGCAAAAGUUGCUGCAAAGGAUGCUGUACCCAUCACCUCUGUGAAGGGGUCUUAUGUGGAACAAGCUGCUAAGAAAGUUAUGGCCAACAGAAGUUCUGCCUUUGACUGGUGCUUUGGUAACUACCUGUGGGGAUAGUCUGCUGUUAUUCUAUUUUUCUUCCUUCUUUGUCAGAGAAAAUGGCAGUCUGGUGACAGUGUUCUUGAGAAUAGCAACUUCAUUCUACCAGGUUCUGCUGGUAGAGUAGAAGUGGAAAGUCCUGCCUGAGAACGUGCAUUGUAGAAGCACUGCUACCAAAGCUGGCAGCUCUGCCAAAACCCAGAACAUGAGUGCUUUGGGGAUGCCCUGGUAGGAACUUAGGUCAGUGCUGGCCUUGGGCCAUCCAGAGUAAGAUGUGAACUGCCUGGACUACGGCAUUACUGGGCAGAAAGAGUGUCUGAUCCCUUCAUGAUUUCAACUUCAGAUUUGCACACCUUAUAUUUACCUCUGAGUACUUUGUAGCACAUUUUGAUAUUUAUGCUUUGACUUUAAUUCAGAAAGAAUCUGGAGAGGAAUAAGAGAGAGGCUAAAAAUGUGCAAGACAAAAAAUACAUGUGUGAUUUCUGAAAUCUGACAGUGUUUAGGAGGGGAAAUAGAAGCUACACUGCUGAUUAUUUUACUUUAUUCUCCCAAUUGAAUGUGAUUUUUUUUGUUUUGUUAUUUUUUAUUUUUCUUUCUAUGCUAUGUAUGGAUGAUACCAGGCCAGUUCCUACCCAAAGGCUUGCUUAAGUGCUUUCAAUCUUACUUGCUUACUUUGCAUCUACAGUAACAAGGAUUCAGUUGUGAGUAAGCCUCAGCAUUUUACUUUAGUUCAAAUGAUUUCUAACUGGAAUAUCAGUGAAUCUUUACCUUCAGGUCAUCCGUGCUCUUUUGUAAGAAUGAAUUUCAGUAGCUUAAAAAUGCUCAGAGUUCGUGAAUGACAGUGAUAACUCACUGCUAUGAAACUUCCUGUAAGUGUGCACCCAUCUCCCUAAAUAAGUAGAAAUGGGUUUCAAAUAACAGGCUCUUCUGUUUAUAAGAGUGGUAAUUAGAAGUGCAUUAAGGAAACCCUCAUUUCAGAAGCAGGCGUAUGAUAUCUAUGAAGUUUCCUGCUUUUUUCCUUUUCUAUAUAUGUUUGAGGCUCCUGAUUGUCUAAUGAGAUUAGGGUAAAUUUGAAAUUAAUUGUAUCUUGUAUAUGUUUUUGAAAUAACAGGCAUAAAGCUACAUUAACUUGUUUCCAUUUGUGAAAGCAGCCUGUUUUCCUUGGUACGUAAGUAACUUCAUGGUUACUAAAGUCUUACUUAUACCCUUUGAAUUGUAUGAGCAAACCUUUCUCUAUUUUAUGUGUUCAUGAAGAUAUUGAAGAAAUAUCAGCAGCUUUGUAUGCAAGUAGACGAGUGAAGUUGGCAUUUAAACUCUUGAAAAUUACAUAACAGCUACUAGUGUUAAGAAAUUAUAGAUAUGAUGAAGGAAGAGCUGUGAAUUUACAUUUAGAAAUUAACCCAGCUGGGUUUUGUAUGUGAGUGAAAGGUGAAGGAGAGAUAUUUUUAAAAGCUAUUAUUAUGCAUCAGCAAGGUGUGUGUCAUUAACGAAUUAUUUUGAGAAUGCCUUACUAAGACAGUGGUGGUAAUUAGUCUUUAGAUUUGUAGAAGGAAUGUGAUAUUCCUUUUAAUUGGGAAAGUUUUCCUGCCUCUGGGCACGCGCCCUGAAGUGGAGAGGGGGGGAGAGUAGAGGAGAAGGGAAAGUAGGAGGGGAGUGGAGGGAAGAGGUGAGGAAGGAAGGAGACUCAGUGGACUUUAAGAAUUGUCCAUCCUUUUCCAAAAUAGUCAGCAGUGCUACUGAAAAGCCUUCCUUCUGAAUGAUAUUAUCCUAUCCUAACAUUACUUUGAAGUUUUCUACCCCUAGAUGAAUUCUACAUUCAUUAAUGUCAGCAAGCCUUUUUUUUUCUGGACUAUUGAGGCCAUCUUUCCUGCAAAUGACCUUAACAGCUGCAAAGAGAAAAGAUAUGAUAACAUUACAUUAAAACACACACUAUGGUAGUUCUCUGAAAAUUUGGAGAUUUUGUUAGGUUUCUGGCUGAGUUUAUGAAUUUACUGUAUGCAAAGCUGCAAUGGAUUUUUCAGUUCCCUCCACUAGUUCCCCCAAGCCUCAGGUUACGAGAGAAAAGCCAAAAAUGCAGGGCAAUGUCAAUUAUAGGAUAGCUAGAGGCAUUAUGUUCCCCUCUCCCAAGCUGUUCUCAGCAGUGACUUAUUGCCACACUUCAGAGAACAAAUUAAGAUGCUCUGCAGUGAUGGAUCCCAAAAACUUGUUUGUCCUGAGAGCCAAGGAAGAGAAAAAGGUGUGGCAAACAGUGAAUGCACCAGAACACAUGAAGCUAAGGGGAUGUGGAAAUAUAAUGUUGAAAUACCCAGUCUAUCUUUCCUUCUCUGCCCUAACCUACAGGAAAAACAAAAUCAGUUAUGUGUUUUGACUUUCUGUGAAAUAGAGGGAGCAUUAGACCUUCUGCAUUCAAGGAGGGAACCAUGGACAUAAGAAUAGCUGCUUAUCUUCAUUUGUGGUCUUGGAGAUGAAUAAGGAAUGAGUGACAAUUUGUAUUCACUACUGAGUACAUAACACAACUGUUCGAGAGAAGAUGCAGGUCUCCAAAAUCUACCAGCUGCCAUGCACUGGGCUAGUUUGGCAACGUCCAUCUUACCACUCGUGAAAGUAGGCCUUCGCAUAUUUGUGUAAUUCAGCAAAGGAUGUGGUCAAAUUAUUGCCUUUGUCUCUUUUUAUUCUGAAUUACCUCCAGAACUAAGGUCAAAUAAGGAAAAACUAUCCCACAGCAAAAGAGAGAAGUAAAGAGACAUACUGGUUAGCUUCUCACUGUCUGCUAAACUGCAUGAAGUCUACUUGAAAUCUCUGAUCUACACUAACAUACCAACUUAAAAAAAAAUCCACAAAUGCUAUACCCUGCAACUAGAAAAGUAGGCAGCUGGGUUAAACUUGUAAAUAGUGAGUCAGGCUCCUCAGAUUCUGGGGAAGACUGAAGAUGAGAGGAAGCAGAGUAACUGCUGGCCCUUUGGUAUGGAACACAGGCAAAGUCAGGGGACAACAAUGGCAAAAGUUCCCUGGUCUAUGGGGUAUUUGGGACGUGAAUCCCCUUCCUGAGGGUGAAAGUGGUGCCUGAAAGAGUCAUGUACAGAGGUCAGUGCGUUAGGCUGGUGAGUGUCCAGGAGGAAACACUCCUGGAGGACAGCAAUACAAUAAGUUUAAGAAAAAAAAAGGCCAGAACAUAAAUUCUUGCCACCCUUUAAAAUUUAACAAUAUUAAGCAUAAUCAUUUGGCAGUUCACUUAAUCUCAGUGGCAAAAAUAACUGGUUAUACGUUAUUAUUGAAGAUUAAAAUCUUAAAUCUUCCAUCAAGGCGGGGAGGGAGCAGGAGGUGCUAGAUAUGACUUUUGUCAUAUCAGGACCCUAAUGAAUUCUGCAAAAAAAGAAUUCUUAUGAAAUAUCCUUUCCAUUCAGCUAUUAUCUUUGGCUGUAGCAAUUACUCAUUUGCUCUAAACUGAAAUCCAACAACAUGAAGCACAGCUAUUCUCUUUCAAACUAAAAUCAGUAUUGGCAGGAUGACUGAAACUAUUUGCUUCCAUUAAAGGCAAAAUAUGUCCUAAGUGGUCACAAGUGUGCCAUCUUCCUCAGCUGUCAGUGCCUAAUUUGAAAUAUUUAAUUUAAAACAUUUUUAAAGCAGGCUGGUUGUCUCUGUUGCUCUGAGCUUACAUCUCCUACAUUCUAUUUCCAAUACCUGCCCCCACAUCCAUUGGCUGCUUCUGAUGUGCUAACGCAUUUAGAAAUGUGACUUUCCUCAUCUAUGCUAGACAAAAAGUCUAAUGCAAGAUCAUGUUGGUGAGUUCAUUCUAGAACACCAUCUUCUCUGGCCUUUUGUUAUGGGAGAAGCAACAGGAAGGAAACUGAGCUCCAACUACUGCUCCAGUAUGGUCAGCAAGAUGCACAGGAGGGAAAUUCUGUAUCCAGCUUGUGGAAGGUAUGGCAUGCCUCUUUCAGAUCCUCCUCAGAAGGGCAUCUACAUCACAGUAGUGCGGCCAAAGAUGUGGUGGAGAAGCCAUGAGAGAGGAGUCCCAGAGAGAACCUCAUAAUCCAUAGAAUCAUAGAAUCAUUAACAUUGGAAAAGACCUCUACGGUAAUCUAGUCCAACCACCAAUCUGUCCCCACCAUGCCCACUAACCACCUCCCUAAGUGCCACAUCUACACCUUUUAUUAACACCUCCAGGGACUCCACCACUUCCCCAGGCAGCCUGUUCCAAUGCAUUAACACUCUUUUGGAGAAUAAUUUUUUCCUAAUAUUGAACCUGAACUUCCCCUGGCACAACUUAAAGCCAUUACUUCUUGUCCUAUCACUAACUACAUGGGAGAAGAGGCCAACCCCCAUCUUGCCACAGACUCCUUUCAGGCAGUUGUAGAGGGCAAUAAGGUCUCCCCUGAGCCUCCUCUUCUCCAGACCAAACAAUUCCAUUUCCCUCAGCUCACCCCAAGACCUGUGCUUCAGAUCCUGGAUUAAUCUUCUGUGCACUUGAAUAAAAAUGUAGUUUCUACUGAAAGACAAAACUUUUCAUGCAAAGAGAGGACAAUUCUGUUUAAAAACAACAGUAAGUACAUCAGAGACAUUGUAUUCAUCCUACAUUCUGAAAAAAAAAUGCCAAUAAUAAAGCUCUAUCUAGAGAACUGUGGAAGGAAAAAGAUUUUUUGAUAUCUUUUUUUCUAAACAAUUAAAGCUGAAGCAUUCAGCAUUUUGGAUCCAGUGUAAAUCCUCGCAUUCCUGGGCAAUAUAUAUACAUAUUUUCUGUCAGCAAAUCCUUAGUUUCCACAUUAGUUAAUGUUCCACCUGCUGUAUAAACCCAGAGAAGCUGUCUCUUGCAACUGUAGUGUUCUCUUCUGGCAGUCCUUUUUUCUUCCUUUUUCUUCUGUCAAAUAUGCAGAAAAUACCUUUGAAAAUGUACACAGUGUUCACAGUAAAUGGAAAUAACACAGAUGCACGCGUGUACAUUUAUGGAAGUGUAAUAAUUCUGAGAACAGUACAGAGAGCUCAGUUAACAGACUACAGUAAACGAUGCCAGGUUACCUAAACCUCAUAGUCCCAAAAGGAAGGAUUUUAGACAGCUUGCUGAUGUUCACAGUGUCAUGACGUAUGUCAGCACCAAGCCCACGUAACGGGUUUAAAUGAUCUAUUGACCUCCAACGGAUAUUAUGAACAUGGGUAUCAUCCUUCAUUGUUAAUAAAAAGGGAACCAACUGAGACAUUUUGAUUCUUGUUUGUCCUGCUUCACCGUUAUUCAGACCCUUCCAUAUUGGAAAAGCAUGAAGAGACAGCAAGCAGUUUCAAUUCAGUGUUUCUGAACUGGGGAUCCAUUGUGAUAGGAAAGAUUUAAAGUUAAAGUGAGAUGAAAGAUGUGGCCCAAAUGAGCAAAAGUGGUUGGUGGCAGGAAAUUCGCUGAUGCUAAUUUGUACUGCUUAGAAUAUUUUCUCCAAACUGCUAGGUGGGAGGGUAGCUAGUUGAUCCCUCCAGAAAGCCCAGGAAAAGCCCAUGCUGUUUCCAUAGCCUCUCUGUGAAGCCUGCUCCAGAGUUCUGCCAACCUCAAAGUAAAGAUUUUUCUCAUGUUCUUAUGGAACUUUCUAUGCUCCAGUCUGUGCCUGUUGCCCUUUGUCCUGUCACUGGGUACCACUGAAAAGAGCCUGGCUCUUUAACUCCCGCCCUUUAGAUAUUUAUAAGAGUUCUAAGAUUUCCUCUCACUCUUCUCCAGGCUGAACAACCUCUGGUCUUUUAGUCUUUCCUUAUAAAGGAGAUUCUCCAUGCCCGUAGCCACCUUUUAGGCUUUCCUCUGGACUCUUUCCAGUAGUUCCUCAUCUUUCUUGAACUGAGGAGCCCAGAACUGGACACAGUACUCCAAGUGAGGCCUCACCAGGGCAGAGCAGAGGGGGAGGAUCACCUCCCUUGAUCUGCUGGCUAUGCUCUUUCUAAUGCACCCCAAGAUACUGUUGGCCUUGUUGGCCAUAAGGGCACACUGCUGGCUCAUGGCCAUCCUGCUGUCCACCAGAACACCCAAGUCCUUCUCCACAGAGCUCCUCUCCAGCAAGUCAGCCCCUAACCUGUACUGAUGCAUAUGGUUCUUCUUUCACAGGUGGAGGACUCUGCCCUUGCCCUUGUUGAACUUCAUCAGGUUCCUCUCCUCCCAGCUCUCCAGUCUGUCCAGAUCUUGCAGAAGGGCAGAGCAUCCUUCUGGUGUGUCAGCCAUUCCUCCCAGCUUUGUAUCAGUUUCACACUGAUAAAAGGGUCAAUGUACACUAGCUAUUCUUAGCCACUUUUUCAUAAUUUGCAUUUAAAAAGCUAUCACAUAUCUUUUAAUUCCCUUGUUAUACACCUGUAAAUUCUCACUGUAUGUUUUGCUGAUAUUUAUCACCAAUGAAAGUUCAUUCACCCCAGAUCCCUCAUUUAGGAAAGGAAUAUAUGGGGGUAUUGUCUGAGCUCUAUCUUUCUUAAUGCCACAGUACAUGAAGAAAAUGAAGCAAAAUAAAAUAAAAUAAAAUAAA